rfam:Cricetulus griseus cell line CHO-K1, whole genome shotgun sequence.
GAAUGUAGGGCAAUCUGGCCGUGGCAUCUGUCACCCCAUUGAUUGCAGGGCUGAUUAGAUGAUCUGGCCAGCUUUAUGUUGUCCCCCUCCCUCCAUCACUGCUCCACAAGUGUCCUUCUGAAAUCUGUCCCUCUCCAGCUGAGAGCCAUUCUUUAGUCAGGCAGAUAGCUGUUCCCUGAUAGCUGCUCCAAAGAAGCUCUUAAGAAUCAUGAAACUCACUAAUGGAAGUCAACCUCGGUGAU